rnacentral:rRNA from 1 species
UAAGCGAAAGUGAUAAGUAUCCCACCUGGGGAGUACGAUCGCAAGAUUGAAACUCAAAGGAAUUGACGGGGGCCCGCACAAGCGGUGGAGCAUGUGGUUUAAUUCGAUGAUACGCGAGGAACCUUACCUGGGCUUAAAUGUAUUUUGACAGGACUGGAAACAGUUUUUCCCGCAAGGGCAAUUUACAAGGUGCUGCAUGGUUGUCGUCAGCUCGUGCCGUGAGGUGUCAGGUUAAGUCCUAUAACGAGCGCAACCCCUAUCGUUAGUUGCUAGCAGGUCAUGCUGAGGACUCUAACGAGACUGCCGGUGCAAACCGUGAGGAAGGUGGGGAUGACGUCAAAUCAUCACGGCCCUUACGUCCAGGGCCACACACGUGCUACAAUGGUGCAUACAGAGAGCAGCCAACUUGCGAGAGUGAGCGAAUCUUCAAAGUGCAUCACAGUUCGGAUCGUAGUCUGCAACUCGACUACGUGAAGCUGGAAUCGCUAGUAAUCGCAGAUCAGCCAUGCUGCGGUGAAUACGUUCCCGGGCCUUGUACACACCGCCCGUCAAGCCAUGGAAGCUGGGGGUACCUGAAGUACGUAACCGUAAGGAGCGUCCUAGGGUAAAACUGGUAACUGGGGCUAAGUCGUAACAAGGUA